UGGGGAAUAUUGGCACAAUGGGCGCAAGGCCUGAUGCAGCAACGCCGCGUGCAGGGAUGACGGCCUUCGGGCUUGGUAAAACCUCUUUUAGUAGGGAAGAAGCGAAAGUGACGGUACCUGCAGAAAAAGCACCGGCUAACUACGUGCCAGCAGCCGCGGUAAUACGUAGGGUGCGAGCGUUGUCCGGAAUUAUUGGGCGUAAAGAGCUCGUAGGCGGUCUGUCGCGUCUGCUGUGAAAACCCGAGGCUCAACCUCGGGCCUGCAGUGGGUACGGGCAGACUAGAGUGCGGUAGGGGAGAAUGGAAUUCCUGGUGUAGCGGUGGAAUGCGCAGAUAUCAGGAGGAACACCGAUGGCGAAGGCAGUUCUCUGGGCCGUAACUGACGCUGAGGAGCGAAAGCGUGGGGAGCGAACAGGAUUAGAUACCCUGGUAGUCCACGCCGUAAACGUUGGGCGCUAGAUGUGGGGCACCAUUCCACGGUUUCCGUGUCGCAGCUAACGCAUUAAGCGCCCC
rnacentral:rRNA from 1 species